GCGAGCGGGGAAUUCUGAUGUGUAUGGAUUCCUCGAGCCACAGUCCAUUCAGAGAUCUGGGCAAUCACAAUUUGAAUCCGAAAGUUACAUCAAGAGUUGGAUACAGAGUUCAAAACGAGAUGUUUACCUUGGAGCCUAUCUGAAUAGUGGACACUGGUAAAUGGUCGUCAUUCUACCUAAGGAAAACCUAGUUGUCUGGUUUUGUUCUUUGCAUAACAGGCCAGACAACUACCUUAAGGGAAUAAUUAACAGUGCUUUGAAAGGACUUGAUGAUACUCCACAACCGAAAUCCAAGGCUGCUGCUAGGUGG